rnacentral:rRNA from 1 species
CGUAGGUGGCAAGCGUUGUCCGGAAUUAUUGGGCGUAAAGCGCGCGCAGGCGGUUCCUUAAGUCUGAUGUGAAAGCCCCCGGCUCAACCGGGGAAGGCCAUUGGAAACUGGGGAACUUGAGUGCAGAAGAGAAGAGCGGAAUUCCACGUGUAGCGGUGAAAUGCGUAGAGAUGUGGAGGAACACCAGUGGCGAAGGCGGCUCUUUGGUCUGUAACUGACGCUGAGGCGCGAAAGCGUGGGGAGCAAACAGGAUUAGAUACCCUGGUAGUCCACGCCGUAAACGAUGAGUGCUAAGUGUUAGAGGGUUUCCGCCCUUUAGUGCUGCAGCUAACGCAUUAAGCACUCCGCCUGGGGAGUACGGCCGCAAGGCUG